AGAGUUUGAUCAUGGCUCAGAUUGAACGCUGGCGGCAGGCCUAACACAUGCAAGUCGAACGGUAACAGGAAGCAGCUUGCUGCUUUGCUGACGAGUGGCGGACGGGUGAGUAAUGUCUGGGAAACUGCCUGAUGGAGGGGGAUAACUACUGGAAACGGUGGCUAAUACCGCAUAACGUCGCAAGACCAAAGAGGGGGACCUUCGGGCCUCUUGCCAUCAGAUGUGCCCAGAUGGGAUUAGCUUGUUGGUGAGGUAACGGCUCACCAAGGCGACGAUCCCUAGCUGGUCUGAGAGGAUGACCAGCCACACUGGAACUGAGACACGGUCCAGACUCCUACGGGAGGCAGCAGUGGGGAAUAUUGCACAAUGGGCGCAAGCCUGAUGCAGCCAUGCCGCGUGUAUGAAGAAGGCCUUCGGGUUGUAAAGUACUUUCAGCGGGGAGGAAGGUGUUGUGGUUAAUAACCGCAGCAAUUGACGUUACCCGCAGAAGAAGCACCGGCUAACUCCGUGCCAGCAGCCGCGGUAAUACGGAGGGUGCAAGCGUUAAUCGGAAUUACUGGGCGUAAAGCGCACGCAGGCGGUCUGUCAAGUCGGAUGUGAAAUCCCCGGGCUCAACCUGGGAACUGCAUUCGAAACUGGCAGGCUUGAGUCUUGUAGAGGGGGGUAGAAUUCCAGGUGUAGCGGUGAAAUGCGUAGAGAUCUGGAGGAAUACCGGUGGCGAAGGCGGCCCCCUGGACAAAGACUGACGCUCAGGUGCGAAAGCGUGGGGAGCAAACAGGAUUAGAUACCCUGGUAGUCCACGCCGUAAACGAUGUCUACUUGGAGGUUGUGCCCUUGAGGCGUGGCUUCCGGAGCUAACGCGUUAAGUAGACCGCCUGGGGAGUACGGCCGCAAGGUUAAAACUCAAAUGAAUUGACGGGGGCCCGCACAAGCGGUGGAGCAUGUGGUUUAAUUCGAUGCAACGCGAAGAACCUUACCUGGUCUUGACAUCCACGGAAGUUUUCAGAGAUGGAUUGGUGCCUUCGGGAACUGUGAGACAGGUGCUGCAUGGCUGUCGUCAGCUCGUGUUGUGAAAUGUUGGGUUAAGUCCCGCAACGAGCGCAACCCUUAUCCUUUGUUGCCAGCGAUUCGGUCGGGAACUCAAAGGAGACUGCCAGUGAUAAACUGGAGGAAGGUGGGGAUGACGUCAAGUCAUCAUGGCCCUUACGACCAGGGCUACACACGUGCUACAAUGGCGCAUACAAAGAGAAGCGACCUCGCGAGAGCAAGCGGACCUCAUAAAGUGCGUCGUAGUCCGGAUUGGAGUCUGCAACUCGACUCCAUGAAGUCGGAAUCGCUAGUAAUCGUGGAUCAGAAUGCCACGGUGAAUACGUUCCCGGGCCUUGUACACACCGCCCGUCACACCAUGGGAGUGGGUUGCAAAAGAAGUAGGUAGCUUAACCUUCGGGAGGGCGCUUACCACUUUGUGAUUCAUGACUGGGGUGAAGUCGUAACAAGGUAACCGUAGGGGAACCUGCGGUUG
rnacentral:rRNA from 1 species